rnacentral:snoRNA from 1 species
AUGCAUCUCUGACAGCCCUGGUGCAGUUCCUGUCGGCUGCUAAGGUUUCCACUACAGAUGCAAGGAAAAGAAGUCCUCACGCUUUCUGUCUGUCUGGUUGUGGUAGCCAAGAUUGAAUGGGGGAAGACAGGG